CUAAUGACAAAACAACAAUCAUGGCAGAGAGUUGUUGUCUUUGUAAUAUCUUAAUAAAUCUAUCAUUAUUUGGUGAACAAUGAAUCUAUAUAUUAAUGCUUAGUUUUAGCUCUUACUACUGAAUCUGUAGGCAUUGCUAUAAAGUCAUACUAUCUACCACAAAUGAAACAGUGCCCAUGUCAGCGGUCAGAGACACACUUUCAACCACCAGUGGAACAGUGCCCACGCCAGCGGUCAGAGACACACUAUCAACCACCAGUGGAACAGUGCCCACGCCAGCGGUCAGAGACACACCAUCAACCACCAGUGGAACAGUGUCCACGCCAGUGGUCAGAGACACACCAUCAACCACCAGUGCAACAGUGCCCACGCCAGCGGUUAGAGACACACCAUCAACCACCAGUGCAACAGUGCCCAUGCCAGCUGUCAGAGACACACCAUCAACCACCAGUGCAACAGUGCCAAUGCCAGCUGUCAGAGACACACAUUCAAUCACCAGUUCAGUGACUGCACCAGCAGUGAGCCUGUGGGGUUGUCAUGUUAAUGUGUGACCUUCCCAUUAUAAGGAAAUGGAGGACUCUCCAGAAUUAUCUCUGAAAGGACCGAAGCCAUUGUUCAGGAGUCACUUCCAAGAGGAGAACAAGGCACUCACAGCAGUAAUGAGCGCUGCUAGUAAGGAGUCAUUCCAACAACCUCUGAUGAACUGCUUCAGUAAAUGAAGAUCAGCAUUUCCAUCUGUCAAACCAUUUCUUUCCACAACUUCCUGAAGGAGUGAGUGACGUCUGCGAAGAUAAUCUGAUGGCUUUUCUCCAGUACUUUGAUGUGGCUCAAGAAACUGAAUGUAUAGUUCCUCACAACACCUGUAAACUGUACAUUGCCAUUAGCAUUAUCUAGCUCAUGAAGAUACACUCUUGGGGUGACAUCAACACUCUUCUGAUUCACAGAUAGAGUUUUGUCAGUGUUUAUAUGCUUGGCAUGCAAUCGCCAAGUAUGAAAAUCUACUUCUGCCGGGGUCUUUGGAACAUUUCCAGAGAAUACUUUGGCUUUAUGUGCUACAGGCACAUGUGCUUCAGAAUCAUGCUUUACAAUAUGUUCCACUACAACCUGCUGUACAUUGGCAGGAACUGAGAAGGACAAUGGUGAUUCUACAUUUGACACAGGCUCACAUUUUUGGGGAUGGUCGGCAUUACUAGCCUCCCUCAGAUUGUGUAGGCCAGAUGCAUUAGGGCGGAAUGGAGUAGAUGACAAGGGCCUUUUCCUCCACCACCCGGCUUGACUAAUUUGCCUACUACUGUUCAGAUUAAGGCAAUAGAACUGACCUCAUAGAAAGCAGCUAUUUCAUCAAUCUGCACUUUAUAUGUGACAGUUAAAUCAGUUACUACCCGAACUAAACCCUUUGGUUUGUCAUCUGAAGUGUGCACUCUGCUAGAAGCAAUAUUGCUUUCUUUUUUAACAUCAGCAGAUGCAUUGACACUAAGGCAGUACUCUUCCAAUUUAACCACUUCCCAAUCAGUACCAUCUCCAUCAUGAGGUUUUUACUAUCAAGCAGCAUAGGAGUUACAGACUCUUCAAACUGACAGAGCAUUUCCUGGUUCUCCCGGUAUAGUUUGAAUUUUGAUCAUCCAGAUCAGGGCUCCAGACUCCAGACUGGCUAAAAUGGUUGCAAAUGUGACCAAAAAUAAUUGAUUGAAAUACAACAAGCUAUUAUUAUUAUUAUUUAUUAUUAUUAUUAUUAUUAUUAUUAUUGUUAAUAUUAAUAUUAUUAUCAUCAUUAUUAUUAUUACUGAAAUUAUUAUUAUUGAUAAUAUUAUUACCAUUAUUGUUAUUAUUAUUAAUAUCACUACUGGCUAUGAUAAUGGGGCUAGUAAUGGAGGUAGUAGUAGUAGUAGUAGUAUUGUUGUUAUUAUUAUUGAUAUAAUUAUUGAAAUCCAAUUAUACACAGUUUUGUUAACACUUGUUUUGUUACGUCUUGGUACCCCUCCCUUUUGUUUUUGUUUUUUACAUACAUAUCACACCUGUCAUUUCACUACCAACUGCUACUCUUGUAUUCUUGCAAUUCAUUAUUAUAUUAUUAUACUAUUAUUAUACAAUUAUACUAUAAUCCAUUAUAGUACUAUGUCUGUAUGUCUAUCACUUAUAGUAAGGUUUGUGUUUCUGUUUCAGCUGAAGAGUGUGCACCACAUAAUGAGUAAAGAAGAAAUACAUUAGUGACCCCCCUAACAUUUUAUUUUUUUAUUUGAUUAGCCACUACAAACUGCCCCUGAUGGUGACCUGAUCUCAUACCGCUCUGGUGCUGGUGGCUCAGGGCAGACACUUCGACAUACUGCCAUAUAUAGCACAUAGCACCCUCCCUGUUGAUAUAUAUAUAUAAUUAAUUUAUUUAAUUAUAAAAACUAAAAUUUAAUAAUAAUAAAAAAAAAAGUUAUUGAUGACUUGGACCAAAUAAUAAAGAAAAGCAGCCAAUAAGUGCCCAACAUAGAUGGGAACUCCUUCAAUACUGUUUAAAAAGCAUCCCAGGCUGAUACCCCAAGAAGUUGGUUGAGAAAAUGUCAAGAGUACAUUUCUGCAAAUUCUAGGCAAAGGGUGACUACUUUGAAGAUGCUAAAAUAUAACACAGUUUUGAUUUAUUUUGGAUUUUGUUUAGUCUCAACAUAAUUCCCAUAGUUCCAUUUAUGUUAUUCCAUAGUUUUGAUGACUUUACUAUUAUUCUAAAAUGUGAAAAAAAAUUAUAAUAAAGAAUGAGUAAGUGUUUCAAAACUUUUGACCGGUAGUGUGUGUGUGUGUGUGUGUGUGUGUGUGUCUCAAUCAAUCUAUCAAUCUAUCUAUCUAUCUAUCUAUAUAUACAGGUGCAUCUCAAUAAAUUAGAAUGUCGUGGAAAAGUUCAUUUAUUUCAGUAA